GAUCAUGGCUCAGGACNCACGCUGGCGGCGCGCCUAACACAUGCAAGUCGAACGAGCGAGAGAGAGCUUGCUUUCUCGAGCGAGUGGCGAACGGGUGAGUAACGCGUGAGGAACCUGCCUCAAAGAGGGGGACAACAGUUGGAAACGACUGCUAAUACCGCAUAAGCCCACGGUGCCGCAUGGCACAGAGGGAAAAGGAGCAAUCCGCUUUGAGAUGGCCUCGCGUCCGA
rnacentral:rRNA from 1 species